GUAUGCGUUCAUCCAAGUAAAUUUCGAGCUUUGCUUCCCCAAGUUUUGCUUUGGCUUGGCAUGACUCCAUGCCUUCUCUUUUGACAUUUCAGCUCUCUUGUUCAGGCCAAAUUAACCCCUUGCACUUGAAGAUAAAACGACACCGCUCUUGGUAUGAUCAAAGAUCAUUUCCAGAGUCAUCUGCAUCCCUGCAAAUAAUAUUCUUUUUGUUUACCAAAGCAAUAUUUUGUUACACUUGGCCUCUCAAGUGCCUAGAAAUUGAGAUUUGAAAGCAAUAAUAAUAAUAGACAUUUUUUCUUUUGUUAAAAGUCUGAGAAACCAAUCGCUCUCAGUCAGACUCAAAUGUUAUGAUACUGGGAUUUGCUAAGAGUCAUCGUCAACUUGAAUUGAGUUCCUAUUGUCAUCUGGGUCAUUUCCUGAAUCACUGAUAUAUCACUGUUUGGCUUCAAGUUAUUGUGUGAGUGAAGUUCAAGAGCACUAAUUUAUCGUGAUUUUGCUAGAUUUAUUUGCUUUGUACUUGAAAUGGAUGACGGGGAGCUUGAUUUCUCACACCAAGAAGUAUUUCAAAGUACAAACAUGGGUGAGAUUCCAGGCAGUUGCUCAGUGGAUAGUUUGUUCGAUGAACUUUUGAAGGAUACUCAUGCUUGCACUCACACACACACUUGCAACGCACCAGGACCUGAUUCCUCCCAUACACAUACUUGUUUUCACGUACAUACUAAAAUUGUGGCUCCUCCUAGCGAGGACAAGGCAUCAACUGAUGACACUGCAGAAUCUUCUGAAAAGAAAUCAAAGAAGCGUCCCUUGGGUAAUCGUGAAGCUGUUAGAAAGUACAGGGAGAAAAAAAAGGCACGGGCAGCAUCAUUGGAGGAUGAGGUAGUGAGAUUAAGGGCUGUGAAUCAGCAAUUAUUGAAGAGGUUGCAGGGUCAGGCUGCAAUGGAAGCGGAGAUUGCGAGGCUUAAGUGUUUGCUUGUGGACAUUCGGGGCAGGAUUGAAGGGGAGAUUGGAUCCUUCCCUUAUCAGAAACCAGUCAAUAACAUGAAUAUGACUAAUCCUAAUUUGAAUGGCCCAUAUGUAAUGAAUCCAUGUAAUAUGCAGUGUGAUGAUCAGGUUUAUUGCCUUCACCCUGGACUGGAGACUAAAAGUGCAGAAGGCAUGGCAUUGAAUGGGCAAGGCUACAAUGGUUGUGAGUUUGAGAGCCUGCAAUGUCUGGCAAAUCAGAAUUCAGGGAUCAAUGACCUUCCUGUUUGCGGGUGUAAGAACUUAACAUCCAAUGUUAAUUCUUCUGGGACAACUAAGAGGAAAGGGAGGGGCCAUGCAGCAGCAACAGAUUAAUUGGCUGAUCAGAUGGCAUUAUCCUCAUUCGCAUGGGUACUAUGUCUUACAAUAAGUAUCUUUGUCAAGCUGCAACAUCAGCUUCUCUCAGAAUUUAGGGGAGGUGGGAUGCCUUCUGAUAGAUGUUUUCCCUAGUAUAAGGUGCGAAGAGGUGCAUAAGAAAUCUUACUCCUGCGGGCUUGCCCUUGGGAUUUUUUCUUACUCUAGAGGAUGCCUGCAUUUUAAUCUGGAAGGAAGCAUCGAUGCAACUGGCUUGUGAAGUUAGUAAUGGGAGCUUCGCACUAUAACUUGGGCACAAAGGGGGAGAAUAAUAUUUUUUGUGUUGCCAUUCCUUGGCUGUCACUGUUCACCACCAAAAUAAGUGUUUCAGAUGGAAAACUUGCUGAAUAGAUCUUGAAUUUGUCUUUGGGCAUUUGCCUAUAUUACAAUUCUUGUAUUAGUUCUCUUUUAUAGCUCUUGUAUUAAGUGAAAAUCUUUUGUUAGAUAUUGCCAUCUUGAUCAGAAGAUGAUUUUCAAUAUUGAAGUCUUGGGAAUCCGGAUACUGCUGAUUCUGAAACAUUACAGCAAUCCCAUUCCCAUCUUAUUAGGCUUUUGAUUAA